GGAGAGAUGGCUCAGUGGUUAAGAGCACUGACUGCUCUUCAGAGGACCAGGGUUCAAGUUCCAGUAUCUACA
rfam:Mesocricetus auratus contig047288, whole genome shotgun sequence.